AAUACGUCUUGGCCUUUUGGCUAAGAUCGAGUGUAGUAUCUGUUCUUGUCAGUUUAAUAUCUGAUACGUAAAAAAAGGAAUGCGUCUCAUUCCAUUGUUAGUGUGUGUUCAUUUUGGGGCCUGGUUGGCGUUAUAGUUAGGACAUGGUCUUUCUAUCCCAUUACAGGUAUGUUGUAAAGGUUUUCUGAU